UUAGGUUUUUUUGUUGGCUAGUUUUUGUUGCUGAAAAUAAAAAAGUUGUGAUUCUUUUUUAAUUGGUUUUAUAGCUUCGAGCAUGGAGGGUGGAUCUCCUGCUCUUAAUAUCUGUCCUAUAGUAGCUUCUAAACUUACUAAAGGGGUGUUCAGUAUCAUAGUUUCAAUGAGAUUUUGUUGGGCCUGUUUUUUCUCCUGGAGCAAGCUGUUGUUUUUGGAGGACCGCGUCACCGCGUGUAGUUUCGCGUUGAAGGAAUCCUGUUAAUGCAGAUUAGCGGAACGUCAUUGUGCAUUUGGAAAAUUCUUUGAUGACCUUAAUGACUCUCUGAAACUGACUUAGAUUAUUCACAAGUAACAGACUGUGAUGAAUGUGGAAAUGAGAUCCAAGAAUUUCAAGAUGUAGAAAAUGGCAACCAAGGCAUGGAAGACUUGUCUAACGAUGGUUCUCAAAAGCCAUCAACAUCUAACGCUGCUUGUCAGGAGCCUUCGACAUCUAACAAAACCUCUCAAGAGCCUCGUCAGGAAACCGUGGAAAAUCAGAACAGCACAAAUCUUGAUGACUUCAAACACCCUGAUAAAACUAGACGUGACACACAAACACAAAAAAAAUUGAUGAUAACGCUCGAAAAGAAGAGGCGAAGAGGCGACAGCGAGACGAAUUCGAUGGCGUGUAAAAUUAGGGAUUUGAAUACCAUCUGCGCUCAAAAUAUUGUAAAACAUCUUAUGGGUAAUACUUUGUUCGAUGCAAGUAUGGGUAAAUAUGAUUAUGGAAUGCCACAAUCAAAUAACACAUAUGAGCCAAUUUUAUCAAUGCAACCUUUCACGAGACCACAAUCACAUUCAUCGUAUUGCAGCACACCAGCUACAUCACCAGCGGAGACAUACAUACAAAACUCUUCAGACUCCUCUACUGCUUUUGGUUCUUCAAACAUUAUCGCAGAGGCAUUUCAAUUAAGUAACAUGUAAAAGUUCUAAAUUUAUCAAUAAAAAAGUACCUACAAUAAAAUUUACUUACCUUAA